CUACGGGCUGCUCCAGUGAGGAAUAUUGCACAAUGGAGGAAACUCUGAUGCAGCAACGCCGCGUGGAGGAUGACGCAUUUCGGUGUGCAAACUCCUUUUAUAUGUCAAGAAAAUGACGGUAGCACAUGAAUAAGCUCCGGCUAACUCCGUGCCAGCAGCCGCGGUAAUACGGAGGGAGCAAGCGUUACUCGGAAUCACUGGGCGUAAAGGACGCGUAGGCGGGAUAGAAAGUCAGGUGUGAAAUCCUAUGGCUCAACCAUAGAACUGCACUUGAAACUUCUAACCUAGAGUAUGGGAGGGGAAGAUGGAAUUAGUGGUGUAGGGGUAAAAUCCGUAGAUAUCACUAGGAAUACCAAAAGCGAAGGCGAUCUUCUGGAACAAUACUGACGCUAAGGCGUGAAAGCGUGGGGAGCAAACAGGAUUAGAUACCCCAGUAGUC
rnacentral:rRNA from 1 species